CCUACGGGUGGCAGCACUUAGGAAUCUUGCGCAAUGGGGGCAACCCUGACGCAGCGACACAGCGUGGAGGAGGAAGGUCUUCGGAUUGUAAACUCCUUUUAUGAGGGAAGAAUAGAUGACGGUACCUCAUGAAUAAGCACCUGCUAACUACGUGCCAGAAGCAUCGGUGAUGCGUAGGGUGCGAACGUUAUCCGGAUUUAUUGGGCGUAUAGAGAAGCGUAGGUGUUUUUGUAAGUCUUUAGUUAAAUACCAGGGCUCAACCGUGGAGAAGCUUUGGAAACUACAAAAAUUGAGACAGGAAUGGGCGAAUGGAAUUCCCAGUGGAGCGGUGAAAUGCGUUGAUAUUGGGAGGAACAUCAGUGGCGAAGGUGAUUCGCUGGUCCUUGUCUGACACUAAGGCUCGAAAGCGUGGGGAGCGAAAC
rnacentral:rRNA from 1 species